rnacentral:rRNA from 1 species
GAUAAUUAUAUUAAAGAGCCGCGGUAAUUUGACCGUGCAAAGGUAGCAUAAUCAUUAGUUCUUUAAUUGGGAACUGGUAUGAAUGGUCGGACAAGAGAGAGACUGUCUCUAAUAUUCAAAUUGAAAUUGACUUUUAAGUGAAAAGGCUUAAAUAUAUUAAGGGGACGAUAAGACCCUAUAAAGCUUUAUACAUUAAAUUAAGUUAAUUGAAUUGAACAAUAAAAAUUUAUUUAAUUAAAUAUAUUUGGUUGGGGCGACUAAGGUAUAAUUUCUAGUAACUGAUUAGUAAAAAGUCAAUAAUAAUUGAUUAAUCUAUAAUUGAUCCUUUUUUAAGAUUAAAGAUUAAGUUACUUUAGGGAUAACAGCGUAAUUUUUUCUGAGAGUCCAUAUCGAAGAAAAAGUUUGCGACCUCGAUGUUGAAUUAAAAUGUCUUUAUAAUGCAGCAGUUAUAAAAGAAAGUCUGUUCGACUUUUAAAUUUUUA